GUGAAUCAUCAAAUUUUUGAACGCAAAUUGCACUCCCCGGCUUUCCGGGAGAGUAUGCCUGUUUGAGGUCCAGCCUAAAAAAAAUCGACAUUGUUGCUGAUUUAUGGUGUCUUUCGUCGGUGAUGGGUCAUCUUAAAUCUCGGUUUAAGCGACUUAAAAAUUUUUUUUACGAUUCUAAGAAUGUUUCUUAGAUUUUUCUUGUACGUUUAUUGUAUCUACUGUCUUAUUAGUAGUUGCCGUCAUAUCGGAUCGUUUCCAUACUUUUUUUCGUUCAUU
rnacentral:misc_RNA from 1 species